CCAACCCUGCAGUGUUCGAGACUUAAUGGAGUAUCUGUCCUUUACUCUGUAACAAUCGGGAGCUUGCCCCUCGUAGGUGGCUGUCCAGCCGUCAACCGGAAGACAAAUACCGACGAGGAAAGUACCCACCUUAUGCUCAAAAGGCUAAGAACUCCCACUAAAACGGCACAGGCGGGGCCUUU
rnacentral:other from 1 species